AAAUGUCAAUUAUAUCAUCCCUCGUGUUUCUAUUUAUAAACUCGAGACGGUCUAUCCUUUAGGUCAUAUAGCCACAAAAUUGAGAAUGUCAUCCAUGAUGGGGCGAUUUGUUGGUCCAACUUCACUAGGAGGAUUGUGUGGAAUAGAGGAGUGCAGAGGAGUAGAAGGAGGAAGUACCAUCGGUAAGUUCACUCUUGUGCUUAUAAAUAUCAUCAAGUGAAUCUUGAAUAAACUCUAUCUUAUGCAUCACAUACAAAUCUAUUAUGUGGCAACGAGAAUGAAUUUCGUCUUUCUAUAGGUGGAUAUGUGGAACUUGUACAAAAUAUGAGUAAUAAGCCAUGCAUAAGGUGAGGGCUAUUCUUCUCCUUAAGAUGAUUCUUGUGAUUCAUGGCUAUGUAGGACCAUUGGACAGGUUUCAGUUAUUUCAAAGCAUACAUUAAUUUUAAUUCAAAAUCGUUAAUAUGAGAAUGAUUUAAAAAAAAUUGGAAUCAUGAUGUAGCCG
rnacentral:lncRNA from 1 species